rnacentral:rRNA from 1 species
UUUCCCGUAGGUGACUGCGGAAGGAU